rnacentral:rRNA from 1 species
GACGAAGGGGGCAAGCGUUGUUCGGAAUUACUGGGCGUAAAGGGCGCGUAGGCGGCCCGGUAAGUCCGUUGUGAAAGUCAAAGGCUCAACCUUUGAACGCCGAUGGAUACUGCCGGGCUAGAGUCCGGAAGAGGCGAGUGGAAUUCCUGGUGUAGCGGUGGAAUGCGCAGAUAUCAGGAGGAACACCAAUAGCGAAGGCAGCUCGCUGGGACGGUACUGACGCUGAGGCGCGAAAGCGUGGGGAGCGAACAGG